AGAUUGAACGCUGGCGGCAUGCCUUACACAUGCAAGUCGAACGGCAGCACGGGAGCAAUCCUGGUGGCGAGUGGCGAACGGGUGAGUAAUACAUCGGAACGUGCCCAAUCGUGGGGGAUAACGCAGCGAAAGCUGUGCUAAUACCGCAUAAGAUCUACGGAUGAAAGCAGGGGAUCGCAAGACCUUGCGCGAAUGGAGCGGCCGAUGGCAGAUUAGGUAGUUGGUGAGGUAAAGGCUCACCAAGCCUUCGAUCUGUAGCUGGUCUGAGAGGACGACCAGCCACACUGGGACUGAGACACGGCCCAGACUCCUACGGGAGGCAGCAGUGGGGAAUUUUGGACAAGUGGCGCGAAGCCUGGACUACCAGCAAGUGACCGCGUGCGAGGAAGAACGG
rnacentral:rRNA from 1 species